rnacentral:rRNA from 1 species
UACGUAGGGGGCAAGCGUUGUCCGGAUUUAUUGGGCGUAAAGCGUCCGCAGGCGGUCUAUUAAGUUUGGGGUGACAGUGCCCGGCUCAACUGGGCAAGUGCUUCGAAAACUGGUAGACUUGAGGGCUUCAGAGGAAAGCGGAACUCCGGGUGGAGUGGUGAAAUGCGCAGAUAUCAGGAGGAACACCGAUGGCGAAGGCAGGUCUCUGGGCCGAUACUGACGCUGAGGAGCGAAAGCGUGGGGAGCGAACAGG